UGGGGAAUAUUGGACAAUGGGCGAAAGCCUGAUCCAGCCAUGCCGCGGGUGUGAAGAAGGUCUUCGGAGUGUAAAGCACUUUAAGUUGGGAGGAAGGGCAGUAAGCGAAUACCUUGCUGUUUUGACGUUACCGACAGAAUAAGCACCGGCUAACUCGGUGCCAGCAGCCGCGGUAAUACAGAGGGUGCAAGCGUUAAUCGGAAUUACUGGGCGUAAAGCGCGCGUAGGUGGUUCGUUAAGUUGAAUGUGAAAGCCCCGGGCUCAACCUGGGAACUGCAUCCAAAACUGGCGAGCUAGAGUAGGGCAGAGGGUGGUGGAAUUUCCUGUGUAGCGGUGAAAUGCGUAGAUAUAGGAAGGAACACCAGUGGAGAAGGCGACAAACUGGGCUCAUACUGACACUGAGGUGCGAAAGCGUGGGGAGCAAACAGG
rnacentral:rRNA from 1 species